rnacentral:rRNA from 1 species
GACGAACGCUGGCGGCGUGCUUAACACAUGCAAGUCGAACGGAAAGGCCCUGCUUUUGUGGGGUGCUCGCGUGGCGAACGGGUGAGUAACACGUGAGUAACCUGCCCUUGACUUUGGGAUAACUUCAGGAAACUGGGGCUAAUACCGGAUAGGAGCUCCUGCUGCAUGGUGGGGGUUGGAAAGUUUCGGCGGUUGGGGAUGGACUCGCGGCUUAUCAGCUUGUUGGUGGGGUAGUGGCUUACCAAGGCUUUGACGGGUAGCCGGCCUGAGAGGGUGACCGGCCACAAUGGGACUGAGAUACGGCCCAGACUCCUACGGGAGGCAGCGGUGGGGAAUAUUGCACAAUGGGCGGAAGCCUGAUGCAGCAGCGCCGCGUGCGGGAUGACGGCCUACGGGUUGUAAACCGCUGUCGCCUGUGACGAAGCGUGAGUGACGGUAAUGGGUGAAGAAGCACCGGCUAACUACGUG